rnacentral:rRNA from 1 species
UACGUAGGGGGCAAGCGUUGUCCGGAAUCAUUGGGCGUAAAGCGCGUGUAGGCGGCUUGGUAAGUCCGCUCUGAAAGCCCGGGGCUCAACCCCGGGAGGCGGGUGGAUACUGUCAAGCUCGAGUCCGGAAGAGGCGAGUGGAAUUCCUGGUGUAGCGGUGAAAUGCGCAGAUAUCGGGAGGAACACCAAUGGCGAAGGCAGCUCGCUGGGACGUUACUGACGCUGAGACGCGAAAGCGUGGGGAGCAAACAGG